rnacentral:rRNA from 1 species
GACGAACGCUGGCGGCGUGCUUAACACAUGCAAGUCGAACGGAGUGGCGAAAGGGUGAGUAACACGUGGGUGAUCUGCCUUGCACUUCGGGGUAAGCUCGGGAAACUGGGUCUAAUACCGGAUAGUGCAAGAUGAGGGCGCGGCCUAUCAGCUUGUUGGUGGGGUAAGUGCCUAACAAGGCGUCGACGGGUAGCCGGCCUGAGAGGGUGUACGGCCACAUUGGGACUGGGAUACGGCCCAGAGGCCUACGGGAGGCAGCAGUGGGGAAUAUGGGACAAGGGGCGGAAGCCUGAAGCAGCGACGCCGCGUGGGAGAGGAAUGCCUUCGGGUUGUAAACUCCUUCGGACAGGGACGCGGUACCUGUAUAGGAAGCACCGGCUAACUACGUGCCAGCAGCCGCGGUAAUUC